ACGACUCUCGGCAACGGAUAUCUCGGCUCUCGCAUCGAUGAAGAACGUAGCGAAAUGCGAUACCUGGUGUGAAUUGCAGAAUCCCGCGAACCAUCGAGUCUUUGAACGCAAGUUGCGCCCGAGGCCAUCCGGCCGAGGGCACGCCUGCCUGGGCGUCACGCCAAA
rnacentral:rRNA from 1 species